rnacentral:rRNA from 1 species
UACGGGGGGGGCAAGCGUUGUUCGGAAUUACUGGGCGUAAAGGGCUCGUAGGCGGCCAACUAAGUCAGACGUGAAAUCCCUCGGCUUAACCGGGGAACUGCGUCUGAUACUGGAUGGCUUGAGUUCGGGAGAGGGAUGCGGAAUUCCGGGUGUAGUGGUGGAAUGCGUAGAGAUCCGGAGGAACACCAGCGGCGAAGGCGGCAUCCUGGACUGGUACUGACGCUCAGGAGCGAAAGCGUGGGGAGCGAUCCGG